rnacentral:rRNA from 1 species
UACGUAGGGGGCUAGCGUUGUCCGGAUUUAUUGGGCGUAAAGAGCGUGUAGGCGGCUUGGCAAGUCUGCUGUGAAAACUCGAGGCUCAACCUCGAGCUGUCGGUGGAAACUGCUUGGCUAGGAGUCCGGAAGAGGAGAGUGGAAUUCCUGGUGUAGCGGUGAAAUUGCGCAGAUAUCAGGAAGAACACCUAUGGCGAAGGCAGCUCUCUGGGACGGUACUGACGCUGAGACGCGAAAGCGUGGGGAGCGAACAGGAUAGAAACCCCGUAG